ACAGAAAUGCAACAAGUCAGAAAUGCACCUUUACACCAGACGUCAUAAAGACAAUCAUUUAAAAGUUCUGAUUUUUUCCCCUCUUUAGUUCAAGACAUUUAUUCAAGGCAUCUCCUGAUGUAGACAGAAUAUUCUACUGCAAUGAAAGACUAUACACUCAUAUACUGUGCAGUUUAAAUGAACUGAAUGAAUGAAUUGUAUGCAAGACAUGGAUAAUUGUUAUGCACUCAAGGUGUGCAAACAGGAUUAAAUAAGAGCACUUUUUGUGACCUUGGGCUACAUCUAUGACAACAAAGAUCCAUAAAAUAAUUUACCUGUCUGACCCCGUUUUGUCGUAAUAUCCAAAUGCGUGCUUUUGAAAUAUUUGUGUGGUUUAUAGAUGUGAGAUGUAUAUUAUUGUAAAGGGGCUUCCAUAGCUAUUACAUUAUUCAGCAAUCAUUACAGCACAGUAUAUUUGUAACUUUGGAAAAAAUACCUGCUGAAUAACACUAGAUACACACUAUAGUGAAGGCACAUUAAAAUACUUGGAGACGUGCAUAACGAAAAUCUUCUCGGUGUAACAGACAAUAGAUUAAAUAACACCUGGUGGUGACUGAGGCCUACUGCGUCUAGAUGAGAGCAUUUACAAAUACUCUUAGUCUGGUGGCUCCUACAAGAUCCUACCAUCUAUAAAGAGAGCAGAUUUGCCAUUUUCUUUAAGACAAAAACGCAGCACCAAAGGCGUCGCCUCUCAACUUCAGAAGUGCACAGUCAUGGCCCACUAAACCACCCGGACAAAAAGGAAAAGUGACUCAUACAUGCUCACACUAUGUUAGAGUGGCCGCUAACUGGGUGUCGGCUGACCGGCUACAACGUUAUACGUUUUCUACUAGUUGAUAAACGUUUGAGCUGCUGCUCAUUUCGCAGCUUCUUAAAUCCUUGUGGGCCUACCUGUAAACCAGUAUCGGUUUAAACAAUGCAGCUAAUCAUAUUCAACAAUACCGAGGCUAGGUCUGCUAAGGAGUAACUAUACGUUUUUGACAACGAAUGCGAGAAGAAAAAAAAACGGAUAUCGUUCAUUCUUUUUUUCGGUAAUAUUUUUAACUAUAGCUGAAGCCCAGGCGGACACUCCCAGACGCCGUUAGCUAAUAGAGGCUCAACCCGACCAUAGUUCAGCUAAUGACACUGAUAACCAGCAUGUGGUCGGCGUGAUUACUUAACAUUAGUCAUAUUUACAAAGCACUCGAAUAAUUCAAUGAAAGACAAAUGUAUUUAAAUGAGACAAAAGAGGUUUGCGAAUGUGUCAGAAUAUACCCUAAAACAAACAUUUAUUAAAAAUACGUUUUUGUAAGCUUUAGUGUGCGAGAAAAAUCACGGUGUCUAAAUGUGAACCGCGGCGGAUGCACAUGUUCACCGAUUAGCCUCCGUGAGCAAAAUGAAUAAGAAAGUGGCAGCAUGUCCGCCAUCUUGGGAAAUAAGGGGCGGCAGCGGCGGCGUGACUCAAAGAAACCGAAUGGGGCAAAAGAACAAAAUUAAGUCGUCGAUGAGUGCCACUGUUUAACAGACGGGGCUAUGACAGAGGCCUUCUACGUCCACUCAUUCACAGUACCCCGAAGCUCCCGUAGGAGUCGCAAGAACCUCUGCUGUACUGUCUGAACACUUAGACCACUGCAGGCGCUGUUUGGAGCUCUGGCUGUCGUCUUCUGCACCACCAAGUCACAACUUGCUUCUUUUUUUUUGCCUCAUCAAGUUCCGUGUAACAGAGCUGUCAGUCAUUUUAACAGGUUUCUUUUGAGGCUGGGGUACCAGCUGUCAUGUUUGACCUGAUUUCAACAUUUUGAAUGAUGGUUUGAUGCGUCAAAAUCAAACGGAACUUGCCCCUCUUGCUGUCAGAGGGUAAAUAAAUGGCACAAUCAGUGGUGUAAAGUGCUUCGUCAUCAGGAUAAGAUAGGAAUCAGGAAACAAAGGAUAAGGAGUAUUCACUUAGGUUGUACAAAACUUCACCACCCAACAAAUAUAUAUAUAUAUAUGUGUAAAUAAUAUAAUAACUAUCUCGUUUCUAUUUUUCCCAUUUCGGUGUGGGUCUUAGAACGUAAGUGCUGUGAUAGGUGAGGGAUAACUGUAUAUAUAUUGUAGACAUCUGGCAUCUGUCCAGAAUUAUUUGGGCUAAACAAAUUCACCCUGCUUUAGUAACCACACACCGGAGUCUUCAUAAAUAUCUGCGUAAAUCACCUUCGGUACCUCCUCAUGUCAGACUCAUCACUGCCCUGAUGUGAACCUUAGCUGCAGCCCUGCAGCCAGUCACAUGAACACAAUUCUGUUUUCUGGAAUCUGUCCUCCGGGGGAGGAGAGGAAGAUAAGUGACUGUUUCUGCUGCUUAAAUCAACCCGUUCUACUGGCCACGAAGAAGUGUGAAGGGAUGAAAUAUAAUCUGCCAACAGGCAGUGACAAGUGGGAGAAGAUGGCGCAUGAAAACAUCAGUAAACACACAUACAUAUCUGAGGGUGUGUGGGUUUGUAGUUGGGGGAUUCACUCUCUCUCUCUCUCUCUCUCUCUCGCUCCCACUCUCUCUGUCACACUCACACACACAGUCAUGCAUCGCCAUCAUAAAUCAAUUUAUGCACUGACUGAUAAGUAUCUGGUCAAGAACAAACAGGCAGACUGGGUCUAAGUGACUGCAAAUUACUGUAAUGUACAGUAAUAACAGGCAACAACAUUUAAAUUCCUUCCUUAUGUCGUGUUGAGGCUUCAUGACAGAAUAUCAGAAGAAUUAAAUGAGAGACAGUAAAAAAAACAAAACAAAACAAAACAUAAAAUCUGCCACAGCUUCACUUGUUUCCUAGCAUUUUCCAGACAAAUAUUCCCACACUGAUUCUUUGCAUCCUAUCACUCUGAGCCUUCCUUUGGUUUCUGAGUCUCUUUGGAAUUCUGUCCCUCUUUAUCUCUUCAUCUCUCUCUCUCUCUCUCGCUCUCUCAUCUCACAUCUUCCAGUACAUCCUUGGGGACGUAAACCUCCAGUUGAAUACCUCUGUUCUGAAAGUAUUUUUGAAAAUAUUAAAUUCAUGAAUAAUUAAUAAAUAAAUCACAAUAACAUGUAGGAGUCAGCAGUAGCUCAAAAAGGUUCUCAAAAUACGCUAGACGUUACCUUUCAGCUUGUUCUCUAUUUCAGUAUAUUUUUGGCCAAAAAUAAAAAGAGGCAGAGGUUCAUCUUUAGACGCAGACACGUGACGGUAAUAAAACUUUAAAAUAAAAAUAAAACUUUACUUUAACACUUUCUUUUAUUAGUCGUCAGACACUGAGAAAUAAAUGACCCGGGUCAACACAAACAAGCAGAUGUGUGUUUUUGUGGAAAAGCAGCCUAAUAAACUUUUGACCAUGCACACGGUUCACAUGCACAUUUUAUUAUCCCCAUUUCAGGCUUGCCCAGUUGCCUGAACCAACCCCUUGUGUCCUUUCCUCAAGGGAAGCUAUUUUUUUAACAAGUGCUGAGUGAUGUUUGGUCCUCUUGUUUGUUGAUCGUGCACUUUUGGACCCCACAACGCUUUGCUAAAGGCCAGAGGUCUCUCAGGUUGGGCUUCUGAAAGUGACCACUGACCAGGACGCCAGGCUCCAGAAUACAGACAACACAAGGCAGGUCUUGUUAACGCAGUGGUUAAAUCGAAAGUGGACCCGGCACAUUUCACUGACGCGCCUCAGCACAGCCUGCUAGUCUUCACCCUCAGACCAGAGCAAAUAAACACAGCCAGCUACGCAAAUACUUGGGCUGGAGCUGGGAAAGCCCACGCGCAGCCCGCUGCUAAAGGAGGGAUUCUAAGUAUAGUGGGGCUUGUUGAGGCUGAUGUUGCAAUAUUGUUUUUCCACUGAGGUGUUUCUAUGUCUGUUUAGAAAGAAGUGAAAACGAAUAGUUGCUAAGUAAAAAGCUACUUGCAAUCUUGACACAAUUGAAUCCACAGUGGUACUGAUUUUCCAUGUGACUACUGUAUAUUGCACAGCGGCGGUGAGAACAUGGUCACACCCCCUUCUCUGCGAGAUGUGAUUUGUCGACCUCACCGCUUUGCUUUGGAAACCGGUAAACAUUAUUUAGAAACAAUUAUCUCAGUCAGUGUGGAGUAUUGUGCAGUUACAGUAAAAGUGAAGUCACACUCCCUCCAUGUGUGCUGUGAUCUGGCCUUCUCUUUUCUUUGUUUUGGUAACCGGUCUGGCUGCUCGUUCACUGUGGCUCAUGUUAGUGCAUGUGCAUGUGUUAACUCAUGUGAGCCCCUGUUUGUCAAAAUGUUGGUCCCAGGAACGGCCAUAACAAUGAGUGCUUUUAUGUUAGCUGUGGUGCAGUGAUUCUCGCAAAACGUUUCCUUCUGAUGUCAUCUAAUUUGAACCAUGCUGAAACUUUGCAUUCGAUUUUGUUGUCUGUAAAAUAUUGCUUUAACAUUCUUCGCUUCCAAAGCAUGCACACUUUACAUGACAUUUUGAAAAAUAGGGCGUGUAGAAGGUGUUCUAUGUAUCAAUUCUGAUAAUAUUUUACAAAACUACUUGCACCUAGUUCCCCUUCUUGCCCUGUAGAGGGUGCUAAGAAUGUAAUAUCUGUUGUGUUAAAUGAAUUUUAAUGAAAGUGUAAAUAUACGUAUAUCUAAACGAUAUCGCAGAUUUUCUUAAAAUUCCGAUCUCGCGAAAUGUUCGAUAUAUUGCGAAAUAUAGCAAAAAAUAAACUAAAAGACACUCGUUUUGAAAUGGGGAUAAGCUCAUUUGCGAACGAUUACACAACCAUUAUAC